rnacentral:rRNA from 1 species
AGAACGACGCUGGCGGCAUGCCUAACACAUGCAAGUCGAACGAGAUCUUCGGGUCUAGUGGCGCACGGGUGCGUAACGCGUGGGAAUCUGCCCUUGGGUUCGGAAUAACUUCGGGAAACUGAAGCUAAUACCGGAUGAUGACGUAAGUCCAAAGAUCUAUCGCCCAAGGAUGAGCCCGCGUAGGAUUAGCUAGUUGGUGAGGUAAAGGCUCACCAAGGCGACGAUCCUUAGCUGGUCUGAGAGGAUGAUCAGCCACACUGGGACUGAGACACGGCCCAGACUCCUACGGGAGGCAGCAGUGGGAAUAUUGGACAAUGGGCGAAAGCCUGAUCCAGCAAUGCCGCGUGAGUGAUGAAGGCCUUAGGGUUGUAAAGCUCUUUUGCCCGGGAUGAUAAUGACAGUACCGGGAGAAUAAGCUCCGGCUAACUCCGUG